rnacentral:siRNA from 1 species
AGUCAAAUGCAUCGGAUUGUGACA